rnacentral:rRNA from 1 species
GAUACCCGGGUAGUCCUAGGUGUAAACGCUGUGGACUUGAUGUUGGGGGUGCUCCGAGCACUCUCAGUGUCGAAGCGAAGGUGAUAAGUCCACUGCCUGGGAAGUACGGUCGCAAGGCUGAAACUUAAAGGAAUUGGCGGGGGAGCACCGCAACCUGAGGAUUGUGCGGUUUAAUUGGAUUCAACGCCGGAAAACUCACCAUAGCCGACGGACAAAUGAAGGUCAGUGUAAUGAACUUACCGGAUUGUUCGAGAGGUAGUGCAUGGCCGCCGUCAGUUCGUACCGCAAGGCGUUCUGUUAAGUCAGAUAACGAACGAGACCCUCAUCUCUAUUUGCUAGCUAAAUCUCCGGAUUUAGUGCACUAUAGAGAGACCGCUGGCGCUAAGUCAGAGGAAGGGGAGGGCAACGGUAGGUCAGUAUGCUCCGAAUGCUAUGGGCUACACGCGCAAUACAAAGGACGGGACAAUGGGCUGCUGCUCCGAAAGGAACGAUAGCUAUCCCGAAACCCGUUCGUAGUUCGGAUUGAGGGCUGUAACUCGCCCUCAUGAAGCUGGAUUAGGUAGUAAUCGCGUCUCAAAAAGGCGCGGUGAAUAUGCCCCUGCUCCUUGCACACACCGCCCGUCAAACCAUCUUAGUUGUGGGUGGGUGAGGCUACCUCUCAAUGGGGUAUUCGAGCCUGCCUUCGACGAGGAGGGUUAAGUCGUAACAAGGUAUCUGUAGGGGAACCUGCAGAUG